rnacentral:rRNA from 1 species
UACAGAGGGUGCAAGCGUUAAUCGGAAUUACUGGGCGUAAAGCGCAUGUAGGCGGCAGCGCAAGUCGGGCGUGAAAUCCCACGGCUCAACCGUGGAAGUGCACUCGAAACUGCGCAGCUAGAGUCCUGGAGAGGAAGGUGGAAUGCUUGGUGUAGAGGUGAAAUUCGUAGAUAUCAAGCGGAACACCGGUGGCGAAGGCGGCCUUCUGGACAGUGACUGACGCUGAGAUGCGAAAGCGUGGGGAGCAAACAGG